rfam:Asian citrus Psyllid, Diaphorina citri - Florida Strain, whole genome shotgun sequence.
GCCAGCGGCGAUGCCACGUUGAAUGCACCAGUUCCUGAUAGAUCACUGGAGUAAAGCAACGUUACGCGAGAUUGGUAUCCGGAUGGUUGACCAUUGGUAGACCGGAUGGCUGGGC